ensembl:snoRNA
GGGCACUGUUUGUAACCUGUUGAUUUGGCUAUAGCUAAUGGGCUCCAUUCCAGUGCAACAGAAUUUCCAGGGACACAUAACUGACUGAUUGGUGGAUUUUGAUUUGGGGUCUUGGAGACAUGC